rfam:Strongyloides papillosus strain LIN genome assembly, scaffold: SPAL_contig0000307
GGCGGAAUGGCCGAGUGGUCUAAGGCGUCAGACUCAAGCGUAUCGCUUAUGCAGUGUUCUGCAUCGUAACUGGGCUUUCUGAUCUCCGAAUGGAGGCGUGGGUUCAAAUCCCACUUCCGUCA